UCCCCGCCGUAAACGCACCGGAUGAGCUGAAAAGUCAAAGAUUUAUCGCCUAGGGAUGAGCUCGCGUCUGAUUAGCUAGUUGGUGGGGUAAAAGCAUACCAAGGCAACGAUCAGUAGCUGGUCUGAGAGGAUGAUCAGCCACACUGGGACUGAGACACGGCCCAGACUCCUACGGGAGGCAGCAGUGGGGAAUUUUCCGCAAUGGGCGAAAGCCUGACGGAGCAAGACCGCGUGGGGGAGGAAAGCCUUUGGGUUGUAAACCCCUUUUCUCAGGGAAGAAGAAAGUGACGGUACCUGAGGAAUCAGCCUCGGCUAACUCCGUGCCAGCAGCCGCGGUAAUACGGAGGAGGCAAGCGUUAUCCGGAAUGAUUGGGCGUAAAGCGUCCGCAGGUGGCUCAUCAAGUCUGCUGUUAAAUCCAGUAGCUUAACUACUGAGUGGCAGUGGAAACUGAGGAGCUAGAGUGCGGUAGGGGCAGAGGGAAUUCCUGGUGUAGCGGUGAAAUGCGUAGAGAUCAGGAAGAACACCGGUGGCGAAAGCGCUCUGCUGGGCCGCAACUGACACUCAGGGACGAAAGCUAGGGGAGCGAAUGGGAUUAGAUACCCCC
rnacentral:rRNA from 3 species